rnacentral:rRNA from 1 species
GACGAACGCUGGCGGCGUGCUUAACACAUGCAAGUCGAACGGAAAGGCCCUGCUUUUGUGGGGUGCUCGAUUGCCGAACGGGUGAGUAACACGUGAGUAACCUGCCCUUGACUUUGGGAUAACUUCAGGAAACUGGGGCUAAUACCGGAUAGGAGCUCCUGCUGCAUGGUGGGGGUUGGAAAGUUUCGGCGGUUGGGGAUGGACUCGCGGCUUAUCAGCUUGUUGGUGGGGUAGUGGCUUACCAAGGCUUUGACGGGUAGCCGGCCUGAGAGGGUGACCGGCCACAAUGGGACUGCGAGACGGACCAGAAUCCUACCUGCGGCAGCAGUGGGGAAUAUUGCACAAUGGGCGGAAGUGUGAUGCAGCAGCGCUGCGUGCGGGAUGACGGGCUUUGGGUUGUAAACCGCUUUCGACUGUGCCGAAGCGUGAGUGACGGUAAUGGGUAAAGAAGCACCGGCUAACUACGUG